CAAUAGCGUAUAUUAAAGUUGUUGCAGUUAAAAAGCUCGUAGUUGGAUUUCUGGUAGGAGUGACCGUGCCAGACUUGAUUGUCUGUGUAUUGUGUUGUCUCCAGCCAUCCUUGUGGAGAACUUUUCUUGCAUUAAUUUGUAGGGAUUGGGACCCGCAUCGUUUACUGUGAAAAAAUUAGAGUGUUUAAAGCAGGCAAUCGCUUGAAUACAUUAGCAUGGAAUAAUAAGAUAGGACUUUGGUACUAUUUUGUUGGUUUGUAUACCAAAUUAAUGAUCAACAGGAACAGUUUGAGGAUAUUCGUAUGAACAUGUCAGAGGUGAAAUUCUUGGGUUUUGAUCAGACGAACUACUGCGAAAGCAUUUAUCAAGGAUGUUUUCAUUAA
rnacentral:rRNA from 1 species